UACGUAGGCAGCGAGCGUUGUUCGGAGUUACUGGGCGUAAAGAGUGCGUAGGCGGCUUUCUAAGUUUGGUGUGAAAUCUCCCGGCUUAACUGGGAGGGUGCGCCGAAAACUGGAAGGCUUAAGUAUGGGAGAGGUAAGCGGAAUUCCUGGUGUAGCGGUGAAAUGCGUAGAUAUCAGGAGGAACACCUGCGGUGUAGACGGCUUACUGGACCAUAACUGACGCUGAGGCACGAAAGCGUGGGUAGCAAACAGG
rnacentral:rRNA from 1 species